rnacentral:misc_RNA from 1 species
UAGCAUGAGAUCAUGAGGGAAACCUAGACCCUAGUUUAUGACAAGAAUUAUAGAGGAGAAAGUGUAUUUGAGAUUGAUGUUUGAAGGUGAAACAACUUAUCCAUCAGCUAUAAUGAAGCUGUUUUGUUGCUGCCCUUAAAUAAGACUUGUUGAGCUGUAAUAGCCCACAAGCAAUGAUCUUGACAAUUACAGCCAUGCCAGAGGACUGCAGGUAACAGAAAACUUCUGGAUCCACAUUACUAAACUAACUGAACACAGUCUACGAAUUUCUGGUCAAAUUUGAUACCUACCCAUAUCAAGUCCCAAGCUUGAGAUGGGGUGUGAGGCGCCAAGCCGCCAACAGAUAUAGAACACAGAUAAUUAUAAAAACAAAUAUAAAUAAAAUAGCCCCAUCAGGUUGCUUAAACAAAGGGGAAGGUAAACGAACAGGAAACUCGAUUCUCAUACCGCUUCUCUUUCUAGCCUCGCCGUCCUUUGCCUCUAUCAAAGUCUCUUUCUUUCUAUCUAGAAAGUCUUCAAACGUGUACCCAAAAUUCUUUUCACCUACCCCUCUGUCUCCUUUUCAAUAUCCAGUUUUUUGUGUUAAAAUGGCCAAAGGGAAAUCACUUUACUUCAUUGCAGUCCGUAAGUCCGCAGAAUUUUAGGAUUUGUAUGUAUUUUGCUGGGUCCAUGGUUCCAUGAAUCCAUGCCCCCACAACCAUUCUCGUCGACCUUCUUGACAAUGUCGUAUGGGGUUUCACCAAAACACACCUCCAACAACCACAUCACCAACAACCCUUCUAUUUCUUUCUCGUGAUUUCUUCCGCUGCUCUGUUGUUUUCUUGUAUGCAUUUACAUUGUGAAAGUUGAGAUUUUUUAUUGUCUCUCAUGGCUUUGAGGGCCGCUGGAACCAUCUGGAUUAACCCAAUAAGACCUCUUUCGAAUGUGGGCGGGUCGGAUUUGGUGUAUAGGCGUUGUGAGUUUGGCUAUGGUUUGAGGUGCAAUUGGGAUUUUGAUAGGUUCCCUGAGCGGGAACGUUGUCGUUUGGCUGUUUUGGCUCAGAGAGUUAUCACUCCUGUUAAAGAUGAUGAGAAGCCCUUCACUCCUGAGGUGGAGCCUUCUGGGGCAAUUGAUAAGGUUCAGGACACCGAGUCCAGAGUCUUUCACAAGGAUUUGAACCUUCUACCUAAACCAUUAUCAGCAACAGAUCUUUCUGCAUCUCGCAAUGACAGCAUAAAAGUACGGGUUGCUUAUCAGGGAAUAUCAGGAGCAUAUAGUGAGGCUGCUGCACUAAAAGCAUACCCCAAGUGUGAAACUGUCCCAUGUGAACAUUUUGAAGCUGCAUUCAAGGCUGUUGAACUCUGGUUAGUGGAUAAAGCAGUCCUCCCCAUUGAGAAUUCAGUUGGUGGCAGCAUCCACCGCAAUUAUGACUUACUCCUUCGCCAUAGGCUGCAUAUAGUAGGAGAGGUGCAAAUGGCAGUCAACCAUUGUCUGUUGGGAUUGCCUGGUGUACGAAAGGAGGAGUUGAAACGUGUUUUGAGCCACCCCCAGGCCCUUUCCCACUGUGAGAUGGCAUUGACCAAGUUAGGUGUUGUAAAAGUUACCACUGAUGAUACAGCUGGUGCUGCUCAGAUGGUAGCUACCUGUGGCAUCAGAGAAACGGGCGCCAUUGCAAGUGCUCGAGCAGCGGAAAUCUAUGGUCUUGACAUUCUUGCUGAAAAAUUCCAGGACAAUGACGAUAAUGUUACCCGCUUUUUGAUACUUGGAAGAGAACCUAUAAUUCCUGGAACUGACAGACCCUAUAAGACGAGCAUUGUUUUCACCCUUGAAGAAGGUCCUGGUGUUCUGUUCAAAGCACUGGCAGUGUUUGCUUUGAGGGGCAUUAAUUUGUCAAAGAUAGAGAGCCGCCCACAAAGAAAUCGUCCUUUAAGGGUGGUUGAUGAUUCUAACAAGGGAAGUGCCAAGUAAGUGAUAAAAUUUUGGGUAAAGAUUUGCAAGGUUGGAUGUGAACUAUCCUACCUUUUGCGGGUAUACACUGGUAGACUAUUUGGAUGCAAGUCUAGGUGAAUAGAUAGGAAAGAAUCAACCAACUGGAAUUGAAAAGCAAAUUAAACAUUGCCUUAGCCAGGAAGAAAAGAUCAAAUGUAAGUAAUGAUAGCAACACUCAGAAGCAUGUAACAACUAUAUUUUUGAUGUGCCUACUAAAAUUUGUAAGUUGUAAAAGAGCAUUUUGCACAACAAAAAUUAGCAUCAAUAGGAUAAUAAUGUUUUUUUUUUCCAUCAAAAAGAAAAAAAAAGGUAAUUGGCACCUUGUUCUUUUAUUAACCGUGUUGAAUUGUAUUGGAAUUUCUGUGAAAUAAUGAUGCACUUCUGAAAGUAAUGUUCAAUGAUUUGAUGCUAUUGAUGAAGAACAAACUCAUUCCAUUUCAUAAAACACAAUUGUAUGUGGUGCAUUGUUCAGAAAACAUAUUGUUCGCUUCAGAGUUUACUAAAAGACAAGUUCUCUUUCACAAUUUGGUGCUUAAAAAGAUACUAAUUAUCCUUUUACUGCUGCAUCUUACGCUUUCAUGUAUGUCAAUUGCAAACUAUGGGCCUCCACUCAACAAACCUGAAAUAUAACUAUUUAGCUAAGUUUUUGCUUUUGCAUUCCUGGGAAACUGAAAUGGUAGAGAGUAUCAAAUUCAAAUUUUUUUUCUUUCACAACAACUUUUUGUCCAUAUUACUGUUUAUGCAACCCUGUGUGUGUGUAAAUGUGUAUAUAAGUUAUAUUUGAGAUUUUGGAGUAUGGUAAAUUUAUUUGUCUUUGCUAUACCAGUGAUGUAUUUCCUGUGGCAGGUACUUUGACUACCUUUUCUA